CGAACACAGGACUCAAGGCUA
rnacentral:miRNA from 1 species